rnacentral:misc_RNA from 1 species
GAUGAAGAACGCAGCGAAAUGCGAUAAGUAAUGUGAAUUGCAGAAUUCAGUGAAUCAUCGAAUCUUUGAACGCACAUUGCGCCCGCUAGUAUUCUGGCGGGCAUGCCUGUCCGAGCGUCAUUUCAACCCUCAAGCCCCCGGGCUUGGUGUUGGGGAUCGGCGAGCCUCCGCGCCCGCCGUCCCCUAAAUCUAGUGGCGGUCUCGCUGUAGCUUCCUCUGCGUAGUAGCACACCUCGCACUGGGAAACAGCGCGGCCACGCCGUUAAACCCCCAACUUCUGAACGUUUGACGUCGGAUCAGGUAGGAAUACCCGCUGAACUUAAGCAUAUCAAUAAGCGGAGGA